CAAAAGCAUUGUGAAAUCAUCCCAUCCGAGCGAUUUAUUCAACAGCUUCUUUACAGUUACAGGAUCAAGAUGGUAGACACAAAAGAAGAUAACCAGCCAAUUUCAGCCACUGUGCAAAACACAAAAUUCAUCUGGUCACCAAAGGGGAUGAUUUUAGCUCUUGAAAUUGCUCUGUGUGCCAUUGUGACUAUUUGUAAAGCAGUUUCCUUUGAAUGCUACUUUUGGGGCUGCAUUACAGAGCUGGUCUGGGCCAUUCUCAUAUUCAUCGUUUAUGCCAUCGACCUACCUACCUACAUGCACCUAUCACUGAUGUAUUUCCAGUGGCUGGACUUAUUCAGAGCAAUCACAGGAUCAGUCCUCCUUCUUGUUACUUCUCUUAUCUGUCUUAGCUGGGGAUGGACAAGUUCCGGGGGAGUUGCU